rnacentral:rRNA from 1 species
AUCUGCAGAAUCGCCUCUUGGUCAUUUAGAGGAAGUAAAGUCGUAACAAGGUCUCGUAGGUGACCUGCGGAGGGAUCAUUA